UGCAGGGUGCUGAUUGGCGUUACCCUGAUUGUGUUUUGUUGCCAGCUCAAAAAACAGAUCAGGGUGCAAUGCCAGCUGACAAGCGAGAGAGCAAGAAAAGAGAUUCUGAUCAAGUUAUCUAUGACUGGUAGAUGAAAACUGUGGAGAACCGAACCAGAGAGCGGACAACGAGAGCCUACCAAUACCGAGUAAAUUACGUACAUGUAUACACAUUCUAGUUUAGUACUCUUUAUACUGUGAAGCUGUGAAGACGAGACAAUAAAUUACCGGAGUAAUAUACUAUACACGAUUGUUUUAUUAUUCACGCAAACAAGUAGAUUCUUACAGUGGCGACGAGCAUCGGUUUUUCUGCAUCGGAUUUUUCUUGGCGAGUCAAAAGCAGCGAGUUGCAAAUCAGCACAACUGUCGACUCGAAGCAACGAGUUGAUACAUACAUACAUAGUUGAUGAAAUAGCGAAGGAGAAAAUAUUUCUCUACAUUCAGCAAACCAGCACAACUGUCAAUAAGAGACGUAGCAAACAAAAAUAAAAAAAGUAAACAAGCUAAUAAGCAAAGGCCAUUCAAUUGGCGCAACUGAAUAAGUAAAGAGGCUGCCCAUUAAAUUGGUUUGUUGAGCGACAAAUACAGUGGCCAUUAAAUUGGGAAAGCAUUUAAUUGGAAAUUAAAAGCCACUGAACAGGUAAAAUAAACUUCUGUCCGGGGCAUUAAAUUGGCUAAAGAAGAAAUAAAAGCAAGCAAGAUGAGCGAAAUUAAACCAUUCCUGUGCGAUAGCAUUGAUAGGGCGUUAUUACGAGGCGAGUGGGAAAAAUGACUGAGAUCGUUUACUCUGUAUCUUCAAUCGGAAGAUUUUACAAAUGAGGUAAAGCGAAGAAACAAACUGCUUCACUUAGGUGGGCCACAACUACAAGAUGUAAUUUAUAAUAUCCCUGGGGCCAUUGUGGAAGUUGACACUGAACAGCCGGUCGAUGUAUUUAAUAUUUUAGUCGAGAAAUUAAAUAAUUUCUUUUCGCCAAAACGAAACUCCUCAUUUGAGAGACACACCUAUAGAAACAUAGGGCCUUUGGAGAACGAAAAUUUUAACAAUUUCUUGUUGCGUUUGAGGUACCAAGCUUCUAAAUGUCAUUUUGGCGAAACAAAAAGCGAAAUAGAAGACAUCGCUCUAAAAGAUAAACUCAUUGAGUCGUGGGCUCCAGUGGAGCUUAAAAAACGCUUACUUGAAAAAGAACACGACUUGAAAGAAAUUAUUGAUGCUUGCCAGAUUCAUGAGCAGAUAUAUAAACAAUCGCAGGACAUGUUGCCUAAAAAAGAGGGUGAAGAAGUAAACAGGGUGGUUGCAAAAUCAAAAGGGAGCAGGAAUAAUAGGGGUGAGUGUGGUAGAUGUGGUCAGGCGGGGCGCGUGAGUUCUGACAUUAAUUGUCCAGCAAGAAAUGCUAAAUGCAAUAAAUGUGGAUUAAUAGGGCAUUACUUACGUAAAUGCAAAACAAAGAGUUUUAAAAGAAAACUCGGCGAUGUAAAAUACAAUAAUUCGAAACAGCGCCGAUUACAUCCGUCAAAAGUUAGGUGUAUCGAAAAAGCUAACAACGACUCAUCACAUGAUUCCCUAGAAUAUGAUUGCCUUCAAGUGGAAUCGUGCGAAUCGACGAAUGAGUUGAUAAGUUGCCACAUUGGUGGACAUACUGUCCCUAUGAUAAUAGAUUCAGGAUCUAGGUUUAACUUGUUAGGUCAAGAGGUUUGGAAUGCGUUGAAUGCCAGUAAAGCAACCAUUUGGGACAUCCGCACGGAGUCAGUAAAUCAAUUUAAGGGUUAUGCAGCUAAUAAAAUUUUAACAGUCUUAUAUGUUUUCGAGGCACCAAUAGGGGUGAGAAGGGUACGGAAGUUAUCGCUACUUUUUAUGUAAUAAAAGAUGGGAAACAAUCUCUUCUCGGCCGAGAUACUGCCAAUUUUGGAGUUUAGAGCACCGCAAACAAAAGAAGAAACAAGAAGCUUUCUUGGCCUCAUCACGUACAUCGGAAAUUUUAUACCGGAUAUGGCUGAUACGACAGAGCCGCUGAGAAAGCUACUUAACUUAGAUGCAAAAUUUAUAUGGGGCCCCACACAACAAAACGCUUUUGCAAAACUGAAACAUCUUUUAUCAAACAUACCCACCUCAUCAUAUUUUGAUCCCUCAAAUAAAGCAAGGGUCAUUGCAGAUGCGAGUUCUGUGGCUUUGGGUGCAGUCCUUAUACAGUUCAAUUCUAACAAUGAACCGAAUAUUAUUUCUUUUGCCAGUAAAAGCCUUUCGGAGGUAGAAAAAAGAUAUUCUCAAACAGAAAAAGAAAGUUUGGCGCUUGUAUGGGCUGUCGAGAGGUUCUAUUACUAUUUAGUACGACUAGACUUUGAAUUGGUCACCGAUCAUAAGCCGCUUGAAACCAUAUUUAAGCCAACUUCAAAACCACCUGCGAGAAUUGAACGGUGGCUCUUGAGGCUUCAGUCGUUUAAAUUUAAAGUUAUAUACCGCUGAGGAAAAGAAAAUAUUGCGGACUCCCUUUCGCGGUUAUGCAAAUUGGAAAGAGCGAAGUCCUUUGAUGACAACGUAGAGAAAUCUAUUUUUCACAUAAUUUCCAAUCGAUAGAAAGAAAACAGAGUUUUCUACCCCGAUAGGACAUUAUGAAUUCUUAAGAAUGCCAUUCGGUUUUAAAAAUGCUCCAUCGACAUUCUAACCUCUUAUGAACUCAGUAUUUCGAGAUUUUAUUAACAAAAUAUGUAUUGUAUAUCUAGACGACAUAUUGAUUUUUACCGUGCGAUUCUGUAACGUGAGACAGUCUCAUGUCUAGAAUAUUCUAGAAUAGCUUGUCCAAUGGUCGCAUAUCUGACAAAAGAUGCAAAAAUUAACGUUAAUAACCCAAUUUAAAAAAUAUUAUAACAAAUCCCUCCAUAUCCAUUUUUUACAAAAAGAUUUAAUUUAGCUACAGACGCUAGGAACUUUGCUAAUGGCGCAGUUCUCACACAAGAUGGCCAUCCGAUUUCGUAUGCUUCACGUACAUUAAAUACCCACAAGAAAAACAACUCAACCAUCGAAAAAGAACUAUUAUCGAUAGUGUGGUCAGUAAAGUACUAUAGACCUUAAUUAUACUGUAGAGAUUCGAUCUAAAAACAGAUCACCAACCACUUUAAUUGUUACAGAAAAAAAAUUCUGGUAAGAAUAUAAAUCCAAGGUUACAACGUUGGUUAGUGCAAUUAGGAGAGUACGAUGCAAAAAUCGAUUAUAUAACCAGUAAAGAAAAUAAAAUAGCUGAUUUUUUAAGUCGAAUUAACAUGGUGAACUCCGAAAAUUUGGGAAUGAUCCUUAACAAAUUGUUACAAAUAAAAGAUUUAAACGCUGGUGAACAACAAGACCAAACAAUGCUUUCAUUGGCAGUUCAAACUAGCCAUUCUCAUGGAAAUUUUCGUAAUCAUUUUAACAUCCUCAAUACAGUCGUAAAUUAUUUGAUUUGAAGGUACCGUUGGAAAGAGGAAGGCCUCCUAAUUAAAAAAUUUAGGGGUUAUAGGUACCGCAAACGCUUAGUUUACGAGGUAUUCGACCUUAAACUUCAAAAAUUCGAACAUUUCAAGAAGCUACUUCACCACAUUAAACACACUUUAUUCACAUUUUUCACUUCAAAUUAACUAAAUUACACUAAAAACUUUUAAAUAAAUCCAUAUUUUACACUUUUAGCAGGUUUUUUUUUACCUAAAAAACAUCUUCAUUUUAAAAAUUACAUUUUACACUCGUUUGAACCAUGCGCUAGUUAAUUUUUACAUUGAGUAAAAAUGAGUCAAAAGAAUACAUUUUGAGCUGCACCGAAAUGUGUACUCUUUAUUUAUACUCUUAAGACUAACUUAUUACAUGUUUCUUAUUUCUAUUUAUACUAAUUAGAAUGUUUACUUAUUACUAGUUUCUUUAGAUACAGAUUCUAUUAUUUGUUUAGGUUUGUAUACAUAUACAAGUAUAUUGUUUGCUUAGAUAUAUUUUUUUUGUUUUGAGGUAAGGUUGUUGUGGUAUUUAAAAUCAAUGUUGUUUUGAUACUUAUUUGUUUAGGAUGGUUUGUUGUAGUGAUAGUGCAUUUCAAUUGCUCCAACUCAAGGUUGUUUGCAUUCUGUUUACUGAAACAAAAGGUUGUUUUGCUGUUUGUUACUAUUAUAAGGAAUACGUUCCUUAACUCUCCCCUAUGUUAAAAUGAAAUGUCCUCAUUUCAAAACAUCUAGGCUUGAGUCGGCUUAUAAUAAUUAAUUAUUGUAUACAUACUUAUGUUGGAUUAAUUUUUUGUGUUUAUAAUAUAUACCUUUUUAUAUUAUAAAGUAAAUUCUAAUUUUUGCGUGUUUCUUAUGAUGCUUUAUUUUCUCUUAUAAUUUAGUUUUUAAUUAGCGUUAAUUUUCUAGAAUUCAACAACCGUUUUCAUUUUUGGCUUGCCUUGUUUUCGGUGCCUUUUUAGAAUUAUUGGCUGUGUUUAUGGAAAUUUUGACUUUUCGUAUGUGUUUGAUUUUUUUAUGUUUAUAAUUAAUACAUAUCUAUACUUAAUUAUUUUUUCAUGUUUCAUAUGAUGUUUUCUUUUAGUUCGUUUUGAAUUAGCGUUAAUUUUCGAGAAUUCAACAACAAUUUUGCUUUUUGGCUAGCCUUGUUUUCGGUGCCUUUUUUGCAAUUAUUGGCUGUAAUAUUCCGUCUUUUAACAAUUGCUGAAUUUUUUGUUUGACAAAAUCGAUCCACGUCCAUUGGGACUGAUGGAGGUUGUCGAUGUUGAGAUUGAUGCCAAAGAUUUCUUUGUUGAUAUUUGUUUAGUCUUCUUUUCAUCCUUUAAUUUGGUAUGUAGUGAUUCUGGUGUCUCCUCUUGGUGGGAAUAUGUUAACGUUGUCCGCUGUUUCAGGGUCUAUUGCGAAUCUUGGUGAAAAUAUUAUCCAAUAUUUCAGGACUUAUACUUUUGUACCUUGUUCCACUUUUUCAGGAAUUGUCGCUGUCUGCUGUUCCAGGGUCCGUUGUGAAUUUUGUUGAAUUCGCUGCUGUCUGUUUUUUCAGGAUCUGCUUUGAUUCAUUCUGGAUGUAUUGUCCGCUGUUACAGGACUUAUACUUACAUCCAUUGCCAUUUGUUUCUGCACUUUUUUCAGACAUUUAGUGCUGGAAGUCCUGCUUCCUGUGGAAUUUUUUGAUGUAGUCCUUUUGGAAUAAAAUGUGGCUUUUUUGAUAGCAAAUAAAUUUGCCAUCCCGGUUGAGCCCCCAGUUAAUUUUUACAUUAAGUAAAAAUUAGUCAAAAGAAUAUAUUUUGGGCUGCAUCGAAAUGUGUACUCUUAAGACUAACUUAUUGCAUGGUUUUAACUUCUAUGUAUUUAUACUAACGAGUAUGUUUACUUAUUACUAGUUGAUAGUUUGUUUACAGAUUAUAUUAUUUGUUUAGGUUUGUUUACAUAUAUGUAUAUUGUUUGCUUGGAUACAUUUUCUUUGUUUUAAGAUAAGGUUGUUGUGGUAUUCAAACUCAGUGUUGUUUUGAUACUUCUUUGUUUAGGAUUGUUUGUUGUAGUGAUAGUGCAUUUCAAUUGUUCCAACUCAAGGUUGUUUUGAUACAUUCUGUUUACUGAAACUAAAGGUUGUUUUGUUGUUUGUUACUAUUAUAAGGAAUACGUUCCUUAACUCGCUGCCAUGUGAUGAUAAGGCAAUUCGCUGAAAUUCCUCUUUUUCUUAAAAACUCCUCUAUCCAUGCAUAUGUAUUUUUUUGUUUUUUUUUUUGAAUUUAUUAAGCUAAUAAGUAAUAUUAUAUACAUGUGUUAGUAAUAUUAUAUAAUAAUAUUAUAUAUAUACAUAUGUAUAAGUAAUAUUGUAUAAUUAUAUUACGUAUUAAAGUGUAAAGUAUACAGUACAGUACGAAAACUCAAAUUUUUUUCGAUAUGAGUGCAUGAUAACCAAAAAAUAUAACCACUUUGUAAUAAAAACUCAAUAUAUAUUUUUUUAUUUUUAACGCAGAAAGGAGUACUACCCGAAAGUACUUCAGUCAGCCCAAGCAUUCGCUUGGCCAGGGUUAUUUUUUUAGAGCACGGCCGAAGGCCGCCAACAUAGACGGAGAAGGAUAGUACAAAAUUGUAAUAUGCAUAUAAAAAUGUUAUAUUACAACCAAAUAAAUAUUAUAAUAUUCUCAAACAAUUUUAUUUCUCUGUGUUUAUUACAUAUAAAUGACAUAUUAAUCAUAUAUUAAUAUAUGUAUGUAUGUAUAUGGAAGUGUUCACAUAUUUAAUUUUAGCUUGAACAAUCUUCUUUAUAGUUUUUUUUAUAGUUAAUAAAGAAAAAAUAAUCACUCGAAAGUACAAACAAAGAAAACGCUGUGAGACGCCGAAAAAUCCUUCACUUUUGGUUUUUAAGGUGUGGCAAAGCUGAUUUUCCUCUUAAAUAUAAACACUCUAAACUUUUCAGCCAUAAAGUUUAUAAGUGAUUUUUAAAUUAUACUAUGUUCCAACCGACAAUGAAAAUAUGUUUUCGUGGGAAAAACUGGUUUUCGCACGAAAACUACUUGAAAACUUACAUUCCACUGAUUAUAAUCGGUGCCUGCUCCAGUUUAAUCGAUUUUUUUGGAAGACAUAUUUUGCCGGCCCUAAAUUGUCACUUGAUAUUUGUUUACAUUCCAUAUACAUACAAAUACAGCUGCUCACUGUUAAGGGGAUUCUCUUGUUCUUGCAAAACCCUUGCGCGGUGCACCAAUUGCAGAAUUUUCUUCUUGGUGCAACGGCACAACAAACACACGCAAAAAUUUAUUUGCAAUGGCUGUUAAAUAUGUCAGACCAAAACCCAUGUUUAUUUUCAUGCCGUCAUAUAUCACUAGAUUCUGCUCUCUUGGCCUUGCAUAUUUCGGUAUAGCAUUUUUCCAUUUUGUAUCAUCUUGCAAGAGCAAUUGAAUUCCCGUAUUGAUAGUUGUCAGUGAAAAUCAUUGAAAACACACAUUGUCGGUCCGAACGACUUACAUUCCACAACAUACAAAUGUGUUUUCAAAAUGUUUUCAAUGUCGGUCCGAACAUAAUUUUACUAAAUUUAGCUGAAAAUUUACAAAAUAAAUGUGCAAUGUGAGCUUAUUGCAAUGCUUAGAGUAUAUAUUUAAAUACCAGAGUAAAAGACGUGAAAAAUUUAGUAAAACAUAGAGAAAUACCAUGUGCUCUUAG